rnacentral:rRNA from 1 species
GACGUAGGGCGCGAGCGUUGUCCGGAUUUAUUGGGCGUAAAGAGCGUGUAGGCGGCCAGGUAGGUCUGCUGUGAAAACUCGAGGCUUAACCUCGAGCUGUCGGCGGAAACCAUCUGGCUAGAGUCCGGAAGAGGAGAAUGGAAUUCCCGGUGUAGCGGUGAAAUGCGCAGAUAUCGGGAAGAACACCCGUGGCUAAGGCGGCUCUCUAGUACGGUACUGACGCUGAGACGCGAAAGCGUGGGGAGCGAACAGG